CCGUCCCGUCCGUGCAGACAAAGGCCUGUUUGAACCUUCAACGUGCGUGGGUCAAAUGAUUGUUUAGGAAGUCUGUAUGAUGACGAAAAAACUGCAGGUGACGAGAAGCUGCCGAUGAGCUGCCAGUCCGGAUGGCAGCUGUCAACACGGCAAGGGCCUGCAGGCGCAUCAGCUCUCCUCCCGUUCCUCUACUGCCAUUGGAGACAGGAUGCUUUGUAAAAAGAUUGUUUCUUUUCUUCAGUGGGAGCUCAUGAAGGUGGCACUGUGCAUAGAGGGAC